UCCAUUUUUAAAGUAAACAAGAAUAUUCCUUGUUUAGAGACUGGACUCGAGUUAAAACUCUCCAGGCUCUUAAGUUAUGUAUUAAAAAAAAAAAAUCUGUCCAUGUUAGGAGAUAUUUCACAGGUUCUUGUGCUUGAAAAGCAUAGGACGCUAAUCCUUAAAAAAAAGUGUAAAUGGAGAAAAGUUAUAUUUUAUGAAGGUUAUUUUGUUGUAUUUAGUAUUGGAAGAGUUGGUUUUCAGAGCAUUUCAGAAUGUUGGAAGCACCGCUGUCCUUUUGUUAGUAUAUAAGGCCUUUUAGCAAAGGUUUUCUCCUUUUUUUUCCUUUUUAUUUUGUGAUUAUUCCAUGAUGGUAUUUAAGGAUAAGUUUCACAGAGCAUUCAGGAUAGGCAGAAAAAAUAAUAGUGCGAUGUCUCACAUAACGUGUCCUCAGGGAGCAGAAUCCGGAUUUGUGACUUGUAGCUUCAAAAGGACUCAAGGGCAGAGACUGCACGGGAACACCUUGAGCAGCGAAGCAGGGCAUGUUCUCUACCUAGACGCAGAUUCUAUGUACCGUGUGAAACGAUGAAGGCUGCAGAAAGUUACCCCCUAUCAGUGAACAGUAUUCCUUCUCCAUGAAACAACGCUACAGUCUUGCUGGCAGAUAGGCCCCAAGCAUGGCAUUCAAUAUCGCUUACAUGUUCCUGUCAAGGUCUUUUGUUCACAUUAACCAGCUGCAUGCUUCCUGGACUUUAAAAAUUGGGGUUUCUAUAUUUAAAAAACAAAACAUAUGUGCAGGCUAUUCAAGUUCAAUAGUAAAAACUCAAAAUUGAAUGUUCUACUCCAUGCUGAAGGAGCUGAAAACUGCCUUCUUCAUGUUUUGCACUUUCUAGUAGUUGCCCUGUCUUUUCUAAUUCCUGGAAAUUGUGUGGGUGGAGUGGAUCCCUGCACUGGGGGGAAUAACAUGGACCACUGAUUUUGCCCUUUGACCCUGCACAAUGACCUUUGCAUCAGCCAAACUCAUUGCCAUGACAACUCUUUGUACUGUGUCGUGCCACAGAUCUGUUGGUCACAUUGUUAAUAGUAAAGGGGACAAGUUGGAGACGGUCAAUUUUUACAUUUUUUUUUGUUGCAAUUUUUCUUCAAUGGUUGUAAGUAGUUUUGUUUUUUUUUUUUAAUGAUAAAAGGGUUCAGUAGUUAAUACUCUUUAGAAAUAUCUGUGUGUUGCAAUUCAAAUGUAUGUUGAGAUUGUGAAAGCGCUUCAGUGGCACUAGCCUACGGGACCCUAGAUUAAGCCUUUGAUAACUUUUAUUGCAUGAUACAGUACCAGUAACAAAAGGUGGCCUAAACAUGAAAAGCAGUGUAUGCUAGUGUCACUCAAGCCAGUCUUGUAUUACUGUAUUUUUGACAGAAUGGUUUUGAAAACUGUGCUACAGGGACUGAUGUGGCAAAUAUAUCUCUUUAUGCAGAAGGAAGUCUUUUUUUUUUUAAGAAAAAAAAAAGAAGUAUGGCUUAUUAUGCAUUCUUCAUCGAGGGCAUUGAAGUUGCAUGGACUGAUAAAAGUUGAUGCAAAAUGAGAAAGAAACAAAAAGACAAAAACAAACAAAAAAAAAACAAAAAACAAAAAAACCAGCAAAAUGUUUACCAAAAAACUCAAACAAAUGAGCAGUGCCUGUCCAAUUUCACAGUCUCUGUUGAGUUCAGUUGUAAAUAUGUUUCAAAUGACAUUUUCUUGGGAAAAAAAAAUCUCUACAACGUUGUGGAAUGUGAGGGGCAACUGUCUCCCAGGCAUAGGCGUCUCAAAGCUGCGUCAGCUGGCGUCGUCAUCGGGCGGUUCAUUUGUGCUUCUGUCACUGAGAACUUUGAGCACCCUGGGACGAGGUACCCCCACCUCAAUGAUAUUUCUCUGAGAACAACUUUUGUAGGACUGUGUGUUUCUUUAGAUACAUUUAGUACAACUGUAGGUGACGAGUAGUCAGUCAUUGCUUGCUAGCCACACACCAGGGUUGAUCCAUUUUAAAACUUUUGGCAUAUUUGUCCUCCUGGGCCAUAAAUACAGAACCUUGUGUUUUAAUUAGAUUUUUGGAAAAAAAAUAAAACGAGUAAAAGGAGGCACAUGCAUAAUCUCCAUGUAACAAGCCUUUAGCAGUGGGAUGUAUUACAGGACAGUUACUUACUUAAUUUCUGGAGUUCGGGCCUCUGGGAUAGGCCCCAGACUGGGCCGGAAUGUUAGUGAAGGUUUUAUUGUGCCCGGUUGGAGGAUAAUGUUCUUUGUGUACUUUUUGUGGGUCGCAAAUGAACUCGAUUGCCACAAGUUUUAAACUGGUGUAAAUCAAGCUUGACUUAAUGUGAUUGUUACUGUUAUAUCCAGCCUAUACUGCUAGCAGCUGCUCAUACUGCAGUCAAUUACUGGAAGCGGAUAUAUUUCCUAUGCAAAAACUGUUUAAAACAAUAAAAUGAGCUAUGCU
rnacentral:lncRNA from 1 species